rnacentral:rRNA from 1 species
UACAGAGGUCUCAAGCGUUGUUCGGAUUCAUUGGGCGUAAAGGGUGCGUAGGCGGCGCGGUAAGUCGGGUGUGAAAUCUCGGAGCUUAACUCCGAAACUGCAUUCGAUACUGCCGUGCUUGAGGACUGGAGAGGAGACUGGAAUUUACGGUGUAGCGGUGAAAUGCGUAGAUAUCGUAAGGAAGACCAGUGGCGAAGGCGGGCCUCUGGACAGUUCCUGACGUGAGGCACGAAGGCCAGGGGAGCAAACGGG